AUUGAACGCUGGCGGAAUGCUUUACACAUGCAAGUCGAACGGCAGCACGGACUUCGGUCUGGUGGCGAGUGGCGAACGGGUGAGUAAUGUAUCGGAACGUGCCCAGUCGUGGGGGAUAACGUAGUGAAAAUUACGCUAAUACCGCAUACGAUCUAUGGAUGAAAGCGGGGGAUCGCAAGACCUCGCGCGAUUGGAGCGGCCGAUAUCAGAUUAGGUAGUUGGUGGGGUAAGGGCCCACCAAGCCAACGAUCUGUAGCUGGUCUGAGAGGACGACCAGCCACACUGGAACUGAGACACGGUCCAGACUUCUACGGGAGGCAGCAGUGGGGAAUUUUGGACAAUGGGCGAAAGCCUGAUCCAGCCAUUCCGCGUGCAGGAUGAAGGCCCUCGGGUUGUAAACUGCUUUUGUACAGAACGAAAAGGUUUCUACUAAUACUAGGAGCUCAUGACGGUACUGUAAGAAUAAGCACCGGCUAACUACGUGCCAGCCGCCGCAGUAA
rnacentral:rRNA from 1 species